UCAGACGAUGCGUCAUGCAUAUCAAUAAGCGGAGGAAAAGAAACUAACAGGGAUUCCCUUAGUAACGGCGAGUGAAGCGGGAAGAGCUCAAAUUUGAAAUCUUCAAGGUUUUACCUUGACGAAUUGUAGUUUAAAGAAGUGUUUUCUGUUGAAGUUUUGGUAAAAGUUCUUUGGAAUAGGACAUCAUAGAGGGUGAGAAUCCCGUAUUUGACCAUUAUUUUCAGCUGUGUGAUACACUUUCAAAGAGUCGGAUUGUUUGGGAAUGCAGUCCAAAAUGGGUGGUAAAUUUCAUCUAAAGCUAAAUAUUGGCGAGAGACCGAUAGCGAACAAGUACCGUGAGGGAAAGAUGAAAAGAACUUUGAAAAGAGAGUUAAACAGUACGUGAAAUUGUCAAAAGGGAAGCGUUUGACACCAGUGUUGUUUUCUCGAAAAUCAAUUAAAAAGAGUUGGAUUUUGUGUUGUAUUGACCUUAACAGCUUGCUUCACUCUUUUCCUGCUUUUUUUAAUGCACUUUUCGUUUAACAAGUCAACAUCAGUUUCUUUUGUUGUAAAAGGGUCAUUGGAAGGUGGCUUUCUCUUCGGAGAAAGUGUUUAUAGCCUUUGCUCUCUGCAAUCGGAGAGACUUGAGGUCUGCAGCGUAGAUCCUUCGGGGUUAGAUACAUUUGUGCUAAGUUAUAGCCUUUUCAUAGACAACUUGUUGACUAUGAUCAGUCAUGUAAGCUUACUCGCUUAUGCUAUUUUACCUACGCUUAGGAUGUUGAUAUGCAUGACUGAUAU
rnacentral:rRNA from 1 species